UUCACCAAAUUGGGCUCUGGCUGGCAUAGAAGAUUGGACUUCAUUAAACCUUCACCAUAUUUGGUCCUUCAAAGGAUCCUGAAGAACCAGUCCAAGCUCAAGCCCAUACUUUUUACUUUAAUAAGAGUACCCACCCUACCAUUCGAGUCAAGCAUAGGAAGCUGAAUAUAAGGAAAAUGGCUUCUUUGCUUACGGAAAAGUCAUGAUUCUUAUCCAGUUCGAGUGAUACUACUGCCUGCAAGCUAUUCCGAAAGAGACGGUUGGUAGAUAUCACAUGUGGACCAUAUGGCAUGGAUUUGAUUUUCCAUUUCUUUACACCAUUCUCACUGUAAUUAGUCAUAACUUAAGAAGUUGUACCUUUGAAUCUUAA